rnacentral:rRNA from 1 species
UACAGAGGGUGCAAGCGUUGUUCGGAAUUAUUGGGCGUAAAGCGCGUGUAGGCGGCGUGACAAGUCGGGUGUGAAAGCCCUCAGCUCAACUGAGGAAGUGCGCCCGAAACUGUCGUGCUUGAGUGCCGGAGAGGGUGGCGGAAUUCCCCAAGUAGAGGUGAAAUUCGUAGAUAUGGGGAGGAACACCGGUGGCGAAGGCGGCCACCUGGACGGUAACUGACGCUGAGACGCGAAAGCGUGGGGAGCAAACAGGAUUAGAAACCCCCGUAGUCC